GAUGAACGCUAGCGGCAGGCCUAAUACAUGCAAGCCAAGGGCUGUUUGGUGUAGCAAUACAUCAAACAACCGGCGGACGGGUGCGUAACGCGUAUGCAACCUACCCUAUACAGGAGGAUAGCCCUCGGAAACGAGGAUUAAUACUCCAUAAGAUUGCUUUGAUGCAUCUUUAAGCAAUUAAAGCCGCAACGCGGUGUAGGAUAGGCGGGCGUGCGAUUAUCUAGUUGGUGAGGUUACGGCUCACCAAGGAGAUGAUCGGUAGGGGUUCUGAGGGGAAGAGCCCCCAGACGGGGACUGGGAAACGGGCGCGACACCUACGGGAGGCAGCAGUAAGGAAGAUAGGAGAAGGGGAGAAAGCCUGAUCCAGCCAUGCCGGGUGCAGGAAGAAGGCGCUCUGGGUGGUAAACUGCUUUUGAGAGGGAGAAAUAAGCGCGAUGCGUCGCUCGAUGAUGGUACUUCUCGAAUAAGCAUCGGCUAACUUCGUG
rnacentral:rRNA from 1 species